UAGGGAAUCUUCGGUAAUGGACGAAAGUCUGACCGAGCAACGCCGCGUGAGUGAAGAAGGUUUUCGGAUCGUAAAACUCUGUUGUUAGAGAAGAACAAGGACGUUAGUAACUGAACGUCCCCUGACGGUAUCUAACCAGAAAGCCACGGCUAACUACGUGCCAGCAGCCGCGGUAAUACGUCGGUGGCAAGCGUUGUCCGGAUUUAUUGGGCGUAAAGCGAGCGCAGGCGGUUUCUUAAGUCUGAUGUGAAAGCCCCCGGCUCAACCGGGGAGGGUCAUUGGAAACUGGGAGACUUGAGUGCAGAAGAGGAGAGUGGAAUUCCAUGUGUAGCGGUGAAAUGCGUAGAUAUAUGGAGGAACACCAGUGGCGAAGGCGGCUCUCUGGUCUGUAACUGACGCUGAGGCUCGAAAGCGUGGGGAGCAAACAGG
rnacentral:rRNA from 1 species